UACGUAGGGUCCGAGCGUUGUCCGGAAUUAUUGGGCGUAAAGAGCUCGUAGGUGGCUUGUUGCGUCUGCCGUGAAAGCCCGUGGCUUAACUACGGGUCUGCGGUGGAUACGGGCAGGCUAGAGGCUGGUAGGGGCAAGCGGAAUUCCUGGUGUAGCGGUGAAAUGCGCAGAUAUCAGGAGGAACACCGGUGGCGAAGGCGGCUUGCUGGGCCAGUUCUGACGCUGAGGAGCGAAAGCGUGGGGGAGCGAACAGG
rnacentral:rRNA from 1 species